AUGGAAAUGGAAAAAACGGCCCCACAUUGUAUUCAAUUGGAAUGUAGGGAAAAAAUACUCUACCAUACAAAGCCAACAAUGUCCAAAAGGCACAUGUACUUGAGAUCGUGUAUGGGUUUCCACAUUGGACUUUGCAGUGAGGGUGGAUAUAGUAUCUAGAAACAGUCUGAUUUACAAAAAGUUGUAUUUAAGGGGGAGAGUGAACUGGUUUAUUUCUGCUCACUGUCCCUAAGUCUGUGUGCUGGUUUACAAACAUCUUGGCAAGGUAAGGCCAUCAUUGACCUGGGCUGAUUUGUCCAUCCUGGUUAGUGAGAGCAUAAAGGUACAAUAGGGCGAUCCAAGAUCAGAGGCAAGCACCACUUCAAUCCCAUAUACUAUCUUGAGCACCUGAAAUAUAUUUCAAACCGUAUCAAAGCUGCAUUCACAAAACUACUUAUUAAUUCUGACCAAACAGAACUGGAUUUGCUGUAAGUGCCGUAGCUUAGCUUAAAAUACUGCUGAGGAGAGCUUAGCUGAUAGCAGUGGCGAAAUGUAAGCAACGGGGAUAGCUCUCACCCUCAGGUGAUAAGCAACAAAUAAUCCAUCCCAAUCUGACACACCUGAUAUAUACACACUGUAGAAGCUCCCAGCCUCCGGCUCCACUGCAUGAGCUCUGCAGCAGUUCUGAUCAACUCUUUGAGGGACAGGGAAAUACUCAGCAGCAGUGCAGCAAGUAGGAAGAAGGAUGAAAAGUGAUAAUUGUACAACAUCUUGAUUACACGCAGGACAGCAGUGGUAUGUGUAUAGCAGGACAUAGGAAGGAGCUGUGUCACUGAGCUGUGUUCUGACAUCUAACUGUAAAAUGUUUCCAAGAAAAUGUAUCGUUUCUACUGUUGAUUUUUCUCUGCCAGUGUCUUGACUCAUGACAGGGCAAGCCUAGGGAUUUUCUCUCUUUUCCUUUGUACAUUUCAACUGCUAUUCUUAUGUACUACUAAAAACACAUUAUUGUUCCAAGACUAUUUAAAUAUAUGUCUUAAAGAUGCAGUAGGUAAGUAACGUUUAUCAUAUUUACUGAAACUUUCACUAUAUCCUUACAGCAGUACAUAGAUAAUCUGCGAUAAAAUCAGGUUCCUCUGGCUUCUCCUAGUGUGCCUAAUGGCAUGUGUAAGAAUCAAGUGUGAACCUAUCAUGACGUCACCCAUUGGUUUGUGGAGAACCGUUUUGAAGCCAUGACAGUAAAACGGAGCCAGCAC
rnacentral:lncRNA from 1 species